rnacentral:lncRNA from 1 species
GUUUGUUUAAUCUAUAUUAUCUAGAGGUAUAGGGGAGGGUUGAGAUCUCACCCGCCUCAGUUUUGCACCUGCCCCAAGUCUAUGUUAAUCUUGUAUGUGUUUUAAAUUUUAGUUCAUUUAUAUGUUUAGGCGUUUAGUAUGUCGUCCAUUUUACUUGAACUAAAUCACAAUGUUUGUUUCAAGGCCAGCUAAAUUCCGCCUUAGGGUGCUGGAGACCCAUUGGUGGCCUUCGGCUAUUGUUUUACUCUUUGGUCGGAU